GGCCCCGUAGCUCAGGGGAUAGAGCGACCGCCUCCUAAGCGGUAGGUCGCAGGUUCGAAUCCUGCCGGGGCCGCCA
rnacentral:tRNA from 1 species